rnacentral:lncRNA from 1 species
CAGAUCAAUGACUCACACUAUUCUGUUUUUUAAUUUCCCAAUACCCCCAAACCCUACCCAUUUCUCAUUGGUAGAUGCCCCAGGAUUCCCCCUCUCCCAAAUUCUCACUCAGAAACCCUAGCUGACUCCCUUUAUUUCCACCAUAAAUAACCGGAAUCUAUGGCUUCGAAGGACAUAGAAGUCCUACACCGACCUCCUACAACUUCCACACGAUUGGUUAUUGAAGAUUCAAGGCCUGACCACGAAGAAUCUUGGUCCAGGCUUCGUUUGAAAUGAGUUCUAUGGUUGUCUCCGACCUCGCUCCGGCAAGCCAUGGUUGUUAGAGCCUGAUCUCGACUUUUCUUGCUCACAUAAAUGACUUUCCAAGCCUUUCUCACAAUUUGGGUUCCUCUGAAACCCCAUCUUUGGAGGUUCUUCUGAUUUCUUUAGAUCCCUUCUAGAUCAGUGUUUUCCCUGAGCUUUUAAAUGGGUUCUCGAUAUUUCUCUCAUAAAAUUGUGCAUUCAAACCUUUAUCUUUCCUAUUUAGGGUUUUGUUAAGAUGUUUCUCUGAUUUUCGUUAAGUUUCUUAUGUAUUUCUUCGACUAAAUUUCUUAUUAGUUUCUUCUGCUGUGUUUCUCUCCUACUGUUUUCUUACGAGUUCUUCUACUGGUUUUCCUAUGUGUUUCUUCUACCAUAUUCUUAUGACUUCUUCUAUUUCGCAUAUUGUUCUUUUACUAAGUUCUCAUGACUUUCUUUUACUGAAAGAUGCAUGUUGAAGGUCUCAGUUUCUUUCUGUUAUUUCUGAACAUAUUUCAUUAGUAUUUCUGCCUGAUUUACUUAUUUUCGUCUGUACACUCGAUUAAUGGCAAAAAACGUAGAAUUUGGGGUUCAUCCGAAUUUUGAGAGCAUUGGAUAUGUGAUUUGCUUUUUCUUUAUUUUUGAACUUGUUUGAUUUCAAGAACCAUAACUCCUUUGGGCCUAUUUCGAAUUUCUGAAUUUGUUUCAUCUAUUGCUCAACUGAGCUUUGAAAUCUUUGUUUCAACCUUUGUUUCUUUAAACGAUUUUGAUUCUCUACUAAACUCUUCUAAGGUCUUUAUACUGGACCUUUGUAUACUAUUUGAUACUCUCUCUUUUCCAUUGCUGAUUUACCCUAUGAUUACCAUGUCCUUAUAGUGUAUUACUGACUGAUUUUUGCAAUUCCAUAACACUUUUUCUUUGUUCUUGCAUGCCGAAUACUUAUGUACUCUUUAUAUGUGUUGAACUUCCCCUCUAAAUGACUUUCAUUUUUUUUGAAUGAUUUCAAACUUCCUUUAUGUAAGUCAGAUUGAUUUCUUUCCUUGUUUGCCAAUUUCCCUGUUACUUGGUUUGAGUCGAAGACUUUCCCUAGCCUUUGUAACUUGCUUUAUUCAUGGACUAAUAAUUACAAACUCUGACUCCUUGAUUUACUGUGUACUUAUUGAUUCUUAACUUUUUUAACCGUGUAUUUCAAAAACUCUUCCCUUAAAUAAACUCCUAUGUAUUCACCCCCUAAUUGCCUACUUUGCACAAGAUGCUUAUUAGAUUCUUCCUUAAAUACCUUUUGCUCAUUACUCUUUAAUUCUCAAUUCCUUAUUUAAAGGAUUGAUUGAUUUUAAUUGAUACCCAGUUCCUUAAUUAUUUUCUUACCUUCUUUCCGCCUAUUUUUCACACUACAAAUACACGACUCUUUCAUUAACACACGACCAUCACUCGUAGUCUUCCUGAACUUUCACUUACACUCAAAAGUAUUCUCUCUUGUUGCUUGUAAUGUGACAUGUUUACAAGGCCUGUUGCUUUCUUUCUCUUUAUUUACUUCUUUGAAACUAGUAUGUCCUGAUUUAAGGUUUUUAGCACCACAACAAUGUGCUUAUUUACUGCUUUUGUAUCCUUGUCUGCUUACUACUUCUGUAUAGCUCAACACUUACUCUAGCAUAUUGAUUUCUUUCUUCCUGUUCUAUUAUGAAUCCCAAAUUUUUACCCCUAUGUGUUUAUGCUAUGGUUUGAGGCAUGAGAAUACUGCAAAUUAUUAUCCAUGAAUCAAACUUGAUCCCUUGGGAUCCUAGCCUCAAAAUAGUGUGUUUGCCAAGCUUGAGAAUAUGCCAGCAUCCUCCAUUGCUAGCCGUGCUUGAAGCCAACCCCAUCCUAAGCAAUAGGCUCUUUACAAUCUCCAUAUUCCCCUAAAUCCCUUAUAUGUACUUAUUUGUAAUUGUUUCCAUCGCCUUUCCCAUUUCUAGCAUUCUGUUUUGCACUUGCACACUUUCUUAGUCUUUAUGUUUUUCCCCCUCUUGUGAGCCUUGCCUUGGGACUCUUUGAGCUCCCUCUGAACAUGGACACUUGAGGGCUGACCCUUCCACACUUCCCUUAUCCCUGUUCUGGUAAUACAUUUGAGUGUGAUCAUAUCCCGGAGUCCUAGUGAGGCUCUUAGGUGACUUUGACACACUCAAAUGGAAGAAAGGCUUUGGAUCAUGAUCUCUUGGAGUUGGUUUACCUAAUAACUCAGUAAGGAAGUCAGAAUCAGGCUUCCUCUAGUUUUACUUUUAUUUAUAUUUUUCUGAUGUAUUUCUUAUUUUAUUCCAGGCUAUAAUAAUUUGUAAUAAACCCUUGGGGAUGGUUAGUGGAAAAGGG